CCAAUAGCGUAUAUUAAAGUUGUUGCAGUUAAAAAGCUCGUAGUUGAACCUUAGGCCCGUGCGGGUGGUCCGUCCUCAGGGCGAGCACUGCCUCGUCGCGGGUCUCACCUUCUGGCGAGCGUGGAUGCCAUUCACUUGGUGUCCGCGGGAACCAGGACCUUUACCUUGAAAAAAUUAGAGUGCUCAAAGCGGGCUCGUACGCUUGAAUACAUUAGCAUGGAAUAAUGAAAUAGGACGACGGUUCUAUUUUGUUGGUUUCCGGGACAGUCGUAAUGAUUAAUAGGGAUAGUUGGGGGCAUUCGUAUUCAAUUGUCAGAGGUGAAAUUCUUGGAUUUAUUGAAGACGAACUACUGCGAAAGCAUUUGCCAAGGAUGUUUUCAUUAAUCAAGAACGAAAGUUGGGGGAUCGAAGACGAUCAGAUACCGUCGUAGUCUCAACCAUAAACUAUGCCGACUGGGAAUCGGGCGAUGUUAUUUUUCGUGACUCGCUCGGCGCCCCGAG
rnacentral:rRNA from 1 species